CUGCGAGUUCGCGGGAGAGUAAGUUAUUGCCAGGGUUUUUAUUUUAUAUUUUAAAUGUUGAUUUUAUUUUUUAUGUUUUUAGAUGUUCAUGUUUUUGAAUGUUUUAUUCCCAUAAUAUAAAAAAUAAAAUAUAUAUUGACAUGGAUUAAACAAAGAUAUAUAUUAUUCUAUGUUGCAUAAACAAAUUGGCAAAAUACAGAUGGAAGAUAAAAAUAUGGCCAAGGUAAUAAGAGUCUAUGGUGAAUGCCUAGGA
rnacentral:misc_RNA from 1 species